rnacentral:rRNA from 1 species
AGCAGUCGCCACGGGAAUACGAAGGGGGCUAGCGUUGUUCGGAUUUACUGGGCGUAAAGCGCACGUAGGCGGACUUUUAAGUCAGGGGUGAAAUCCCGGGGCUCAACCCCGGAACUGCCUUUGAUACUGGAAGUCUUGAGUAUGGUAGAGGUGAGUGGAAUUCCGAGUGUAGAGGUGAAAUUCGUAGAUAUUCGGAGGAACACCAGUGGCGAAGGCGGCUCACUGGACCAUUACUGACGCUGAGGUGCGAAAGCGUGGGGAGCAAACAGGAUUAGAUACCCGAGUAGUCCCUGUCUCUUAUAC